UACGUAGGGCGCAAGCGUUAUCCGGAAUUAUUGGGCGUAAAGAGCUCGUAGGCGGUUUGUCGCGUCUGCCGUGAAAGUCCGGGGCUCAACUCCGGAUCUGCGGUGGGUACGGGCAGACUAGAGUAUGGCAGGGGAGACUGGAAUUCCUGGUGUAGCGGUGAAAUGCGCAGAUAUCAGGAGGAACACCGGUGGCGAAGGCGGGUCUCUGGGCCAUAACUGACGCUGAGGAGCGAAAGCGCGGGGAGCGAACAGG
rnacentral:rRNA from 1 species